CCAAUAGCGUAUAUUAAAGUUGUUGCAGUUAAAAAGCUCGUAGUUGAACCUUAGGCCCGUGCGGGCGGUCCGUCCUCAGGGCGAGCACUGCCUCGUCGCGGGUCUCACCUUCUGGCGAGCGUGGAUGCCAUUUAUUUGGUGUCCGCGGGAACCAGGACCUUUACCUUGAAAAAAUUAGAGUGCUCAAAGCGGGCUCCGACGCUUGAAUACAUUAGCAUGGAAUAAUGAAAUAGGACGAUGGUUCUAUUUUGUUGGUUUCCGGGACCGUCGUAAUGAUUAAUAGGGAUAGUUGGGGGCAUUCGUAUUCAAUUGUCAGAGGUGAAAUUCUUGGAUUUAUUGAAGACGAACUACUGCGAAAGCAUUUGCCAAGGAUGUUUUCAUUAAUCAAGAACGAAAGUUGGGGGAUCGAAGACGAUCAGAUACCGUCGUAGUCUCAACCAUAAACUAUGCCGACUGGGAAUCGGGCGAUGUUACUUUUCUGACUCGCUCGGCGCCCCGAG
rnacentral:rRNA from 1 species